rnacentral:lncRNA from 1 species
GGAAUGGUAGAGACCAUUAAAAAAUUGUCUUGAAAACAUACAGCUGAUAUUUUAGCACCGUGCAUUCUGGACAUGUUCACUGAAGCUCUGGGUAAAGAAGUUGGAAGGAAAGCCAUGAAUUGAGAGAAAGUGGGAGCUACAGUGAAGAGAGAGAGCAUGACCUAAGUAGGAAGGGAAGGGAGAGAGGAAAAAGAAAGAAACCACGGAAGGAUGGAAAGGGAGAAACCUCAUCUGGGCCAAUUGGGGUCUGGCUUCUUCAGGGGAGCUACUUAACCAUAGAGCACGUGACGAAAAACGAUUGAAAGAUCAGGUUCAAUCACAUGGGCUGAAGUCCAUCUCACCUCCAGUUCUGUCUUGCUCUGCUUUUGAGGAUUGUUAAUGGUCAGCCUGAUGAAGGGCAGCGGGUAGAACCAGAGCGCUGAAUGCUUCUGAGCUGCAUGCUGGCUCCUGAGCAUUGACAACAUUCUCCUGCCCAUGCAGCAUCAGCCCCAGAAAGAGCUGAGAGAGCUGCCCUGAGGAUUCAUUCUGUGUGUGUUGGAGGAGUGGGGGUGGGGGUGGAGGUGAUUACAGGGAACAACAGAGAAAAAGAGAAGUAUAGUUUAUAAUUUCCCCUUACAUUGAAUGGCUUUGUAGCUGCUGAAUUGUGCUACCUGUUUUCAUACUGAGAUUUAUCUAAAUGUAUUUUAAUG